UAUUGUGGCCCACUUGUUUUUCACUGA
rnacentral:piRNA from 1 species